UACGUAGGGUGCGAGCGUUGUCCGGAAUUAUUGGGCGUAAAGAGCUCGUAGGCGGUUUGUCGCGUCUGCCGUGAAAGUCCGGGGCUCAACUCCGGAUCUGCGGUCGAUACGGGCAUCACUGGAGUUCGGCAGGGGAGACUGGAAUUCCUGGUGUAGCGGUGAAAUGCGCAGAUAUCAGGAGGAACACCGGUGGCGAAGGCAGCCCCCUGGGCUGACACUGACGCUCAGGCACGAAAGCGUGGGGAGCAAACAGG
rnacentral:rRNA from 1 species